AGUGAACGCUGGCGGUAGGCCUAACACAUGCAAGUCGAACGGCAGCACAGUAAGAGCUUGCUCUUACGGGUGGCGAGUGGCGGACGGGUGAGGAAUACAUCGGAAUCUACUUUUUCGUGGGGGAUAACGUAGGGAAACUUACGCUAAUACCGCAUACGACCUACGGGUGAAAGCAGGGGAUCUUCGGACCUUGCGCGAUUGAAUGAGCCGAUGUCGGAUUAGCUAGUUGGCGGGGUAAAGGCCCACCAAGGCGACGAUCCGUAGCUGGUCUGAGAGGAUGAUCAGCCACACUGGAACUGAGACACGGUCCAGACUCCUACGGGAGGCAGCAGUGGGGAAUAUUGGACAAUGGGCGCAAGCCUGAUCCAGCAACACCGCGUGGGUGAAGAAGGCCUUCGGGUUGUAAAGCCCUUUUGUUGGGAAAGAAAAGCAGCGGGUUAAUACCCCGCUGUUCUGACGGUACCCAAAGAAUAAGCACCGGCUAACUUCGUG
rnacentral:rRNA from 1 species